rnacentral:rRNA from 1 species
AGGACUAACGCUGGCGGCGUGCCUAACACAUGCAAGUCGAACGAGAGUAGCAAUACUCUAGUGGCAGACGGGUGAGUAACACGUGGUCAACCUACCUCUAUGUGGGGGAUAACUAGCCGAAAGGUUAGCUAAUACCGCAUACGAUCGUCGAGCGGCAUCGCUUGACGAUGAAAGGAGCAAUCCGCAGAGAGACGGGACCGCGUCCCAUUAGCUAGUUGGUGGGGUAAAGGCCUACCAAGGCGACGAUGGGUAGCUGGCUUGAGAGAGCGACCAGCCACACUGGGACUGAGACACGGCCCAGACUCCUACGGGAGGCAGCAGUGAGGAAUUUUCCGCAAUGGGCGAAAGCCUGACGGAGCGACGCCGCGUGUGGGAAGAAGGCCUUCGGGUCGUAAACCACUGUCGAAGGGGAAGAGUAUUGACGGUACCUUGGAGGAAGCCCCGGCUAACUACGCGCCAGCAGCCGC